CAGGAGCAGGGUCACGCGCGGACGCGGGCUGGGGGGUUGCCACGUGCGCGGAGAGGACUGAGUGUGUAGUCUGUCCUCUCUCCGUUGUCUGCCAGCAACGGAGAGUGAGUGAGCAAGUGUAUUGGAAGUGGAAAUAAAGGACUGAUUCCGAAGCCGUCUCCGGGAGGGUUAUUACAAAUGUAUGAAAUCAUCAACGGAGGAAGACAGGAGUUUGGUAGUGGGGCGCGAUGUGGCUACGUGUAGAUAAUCGACAGCCGUGCAAAUUUUGGCCAUGCAACCCAAACUAUGAACCCUGUAAGUGGAGGGGGAACAGCAAAACUACACGAACUCGCUGUCUCCUCUCUCUCCUGAAACCCUCUCGUUGUGGCCAUCAGAUCGACGUUGACAUUUAGCCCCCCGUGCCACACUGCUGCUGCCAUCGUGCGCAAGAACAGAAUUCCAACUUGGUGAAUUGCAGGUGCGUGUAUAUCGGGGUACGGUCCCUGCAACUGCUUUGCUCACGUCACUGCUGCCAGAAGGGCCCUCCGCCAGAGUGAACUCUACGUGCUGUGUGCCCCGCCCGACUCGUCCUUGGAAGAGGAGAAGGAGACGUCGCCUCCGUUGAGGCGUACGCGGUUGGGGCGCCGGGGGACGCCCAUCACGGAGACGGAGCCGAGCGGGGGCAGUGGAGUGCCGGGUGCGGCAUGCAGCACGGUGGAGUGCAGCGUGCCCUA